GCGUGUGUGGUGUAACGGUUAGCGUGGCUGCUUUCCAAGCAGUCGACCCGGGUUCGACUCCUGGCACACGCA
rfam:Hymenolepis nana genome assembly, scaffold: HNAJ_contig0004314